GGAAGAACGCCUUGUCGGUUAAUACCCGGMAGGMWUGACAUCUACUCUACAGAAGAAGCACCGGCUAACUCCCGUGCCAGCAGCCGCGGUAAUACGGAVGGUGCAAACGUUAAUCGGAAUUACUGGGCCGUAAAACGCGCGGUAAGUGGGUUGGUUAACCCRGWUGUGAAAGCCCCGGGVCUCAACCCUGGGGAACUUGCAUUUUGGAACURUUAKGGCUAGAGUGCAGGAGAGGAAGGUAGGAAUUCCCGGUGUAAGCGGUGAAAUGCGUAGAAGAUCSGGAGGAAUACCAGUGGCGAAGGCGGCCUUCUGGACUGACACUGACACUGAGGUGCGAAAGCGUGGGUAGCAAACAGGAUUAGAUACCCUGGUAGUCCACGCCGUAAACGAUGUCUACYAGYCGUUGGG
rnacentral:rRNA from 1 species